GACGUGCUAAUCUGCGAUAAGCGUCGGUAAGGUGAUAUGAACCGUUAUAACCGGCGAUUUCCGAAUGGGGAAACCCAGUGUGAUUCGUCACACUAUCAUUAACUGAAUCCAUAGGUUAAUGAGGCGAACCGGGGGAACUGAAACAUCUAAGUACCCCGAGGAAAAGAAAUCAACCGAGAUUCCCCCAGUAGCGGCGAGCGAACGGGGAGCAGCCCAGAGCCUGAAUCAGUGUGUGUGUUAGUGGAAGCGUCUGGAAAGGCGUGCGAUACAGGGUGACAGCCCCGUACACAAAAAUGCACAUACUGUGAGCUCGAUGAGUAGGGCGGGACACGUGGUAUCCUGUCUGAAUAUGGGGGGACCAUCCUCCAAGGCUAAAUACUCCUGACUGACCGAUAGUGAACCAGUACCGUGAGGGAAAGGCGAAAAGAACCCCGGCGAGGGGAGUGAAAAAGAACCUGAAACCGUGUACGUACAAGCAGUGGGAGCACGCUUAGGCGUGUGACUGCGUACCUUUUGUAUAAUGGGUCAGCGACUUAUAUUCUGUAGCAAGGUUAACCGAAUAGGGGAGCCGAAGGGAAACCGAGUCUUAACUGGGCGUUAAGUUGCAGGGUAUAGACCCGAAACCCGGUGAUCUAGCCAUGGGCAGGUUGAAGGUUGGGUAACACUAACUGGAGGACCGAACCGACUAAUGUUGAAAAAUUAGCGGAUGACUUGUGGCUGGGGGUGAAAGGCCAAUCAAACCGGGAGAUAGCUGGUUCUCCCCGAAAGCUAUUUAGGUAGCGCCUCGUGAAUUCAUCUCCGGGGGUAGAGCACUGUUUCGGCAAGGGGGUCAUCCCGACUUACCAACCCGAUGCAAACUGCGAAUACCGGAGAAUGUUAUCACGGGAGACACACGGCGGGUGCUAACGUCCGUCGUGAAGAGGGAAACAACCCAGACCGCCAGCUAAGGUCCCAAAGUCAUGGUUAAGUGGGAAACGAUGUGGGAAGGCCCAGACAGCCAGGAUGUUGGCUUAGAAGCAGCCAUCAUUUAAAGAAAGCGUAAUAGCUCACUGGUCGAGUCGGCCUGCGCGGAAGAUGUAACGGGGCUAAACCAUGCACCGAAGCUGCGGCAGCGACGCUUAUGCGUUGUUGGGUAGGGGAGCGUUCUGUAAGCCUGUGAAGGUGUGCUGUGAGGUAUGCUGGAGGUAUCAGAAGUGCGAAUGCUGACAUAAGUAACGAUAAAGCGGGUGAAAAGCCCGCUCGCCGGAAG
rnacentral:rRNA from 1 species